UUGUAAUUGUCUACGUAAUUUUUUGAGAUUAUUGAAAUUUUGUGAAAUUCUGAAACUUUUGAAAUGAUGAUUUUGUCAAUGUUAUAAAUAAUUUGCAAUUGUGAAAAUUAUUUCAAGUUUUGAACAAAAUCUAAAAGAUUAUAAAUCACGAAAUGUACAUUCGCUGGAUCCAACUAUAGAUAAUCUUGAGGUGGAGAAUAGAGUUUUGCUCCUACGCUGUGAAUUACUCAUUUUUAUCGCACUAUUGCAAAGUAAAAAUCUCCAUGGGACGGAAAAUUUAUCUGUUAUCUCAAAGCAUAGUGAAAGAAACCAAAGUUUGUAUUUCUCUGUCCCGAAGAGAUUUGUGCUGUGCAAUAAUUGCGGAAUAAUUCAUUUGAAUCUCACGGUUCUAUGAUAAAUUUCCAAUUUCCUUAAAUUCUUGUUGUCCGUAUAAAAAGGAUUUAGAAUAUUCUGAAUAAUUUACUUUAAUGCCAGCGACGAAUUUAUUCCUGCAGACUCAUAUUUUUACAUUGAUUUUUAAUCUGAGCAUUUUGUUGGACUUGACAGUUAUUUGAAGACAGAACGCUGGUUUCAUAAAAUCUUUUCAAAAUUUUGCAUUAUGUGAUUGCAGAAAUCAAAAAUGUAUAUUCGUGGAAUUAAAUGGGAUGGGAUUUUCGAAAUUGCAUUUUCGUGGUACCUAAUUUUAGUCCUAGAAUUUUUUGAAAUUCAAAAGCUGACAAACGACAAAUAAAUUCUAAAAAAUUUUGACGGCAACUAUGUAAAUACAUAUGCCACAAUACUGAAUACAGAGCUAGAAAUAUGAAACUUACCUAUUCUUGUAAUUAAAUUUUCUAUUUCAAUUCGGCAAAUAAAAAAAUAUUUGUAUGAAAAGGGCGAUAUAUGCAUGAACUUUUAAUUAACCUCUUGGUAUUGUAUAGCCAAAAUGAAUUAAAUAAUAUCGAAUAUAUUGAACUCAUGAAAGGGCCCGGUGCCCAAAAACAUACCAGGCCCGGUAAUUUCAUGGUACGGCUCUGGACAUAAACGUUUUUGCUUUAAUUAGUGAAACACAAUUCUACCUUACCUUUUUCAGAAUAUACUAAAAAGUAGCUAAUUUCUUUUUAAAAAAUGGUGAAGGUAAAGUGCACGGGCUUAUUUGCAAAAAUCACACAACCCAUCACAGCCGGGGAGGUUUGGAAAUGGGGACCAAUUCCCUUGGAAGACAGAGAAAGAACACCCUUGAAUUUAAUCCAGAGGGGAAUUGAAGAGAAACUUAUUCCGCAAGAGCCAGAAUCAUUCACUCCAUCUAAGUUUGGGGCGAAUCUUCAACAAUUUUCGAAGGACAGGGAGGAACAGGCCCAAUUGUACUCAGAAUAUGACGUAGACCCAAUAUAACAUAGGACUUACCAUGAGAAUAAACCAAUCAAAAUUUCUAGCCAAGAAAUUAAUGAAGCAAUUAAAGAAGAAGAACGAUACCGUUCUAACCCUAAGAAGCAUCACGAACCGUGUGAAGCUUUGGAAAGUGCGAUUUUGGAUGCAGAAAUUCAAGAAUGGUUGAAGAAUGGAAACACCUUGUUUUUAGGCUCUCAACGACCUUUGAAUAUCAUCAUGAACAACGCUUCGUCUAAUCGUGGGUAUAAAAUUACACUGAAGAAGAUUUCGGCCCAAAUCUAUGACAUGUUUGUCGACUCUCGGAAUUUAUACUACUCUCUCGACGACACUUAUCAGAAACGCACAGCGAUUGGAAAAAUUGCGGAGGACAAAAUUCUCCGUAAAUCAGAUUUCUUUACCACUCGGAGAUAGACUAUGGUAAUAACUGUGGUAACGUUGGACUUGAAUUGAAGACAAAGGCUUUUUUCCUUGGUGAAAAUGAGGAGCGUGAGAACUUUUUGGAAUCAACCAAACUUUACAGCUGCAAGCUUAAGGAGAUUUACUGCAAAGCAUUGCUGUCUGGACUGAACACGGCUGUCAUGGCGAUAGUUCAAGCAGAAACACGUAGCAGGACACGAAAUAAUGGUAAAAACUUUGUCAUUAAGACUAUGCGGUUUUACAAUACAGGAGAAAUUCCCAAAAGUACAAAAGGUAUUUGGACCAAGGAAGAAAUUGAGCAAGAGCUGCAAUAUUUUCAAGAAUUUUUGCAAACCGAUCAAUUCACUCAAGAGACUAGUGACCCAAGAAAGAACUUGUUUGAGAUUGUUGGCAAGAAAGUUAGAGGGGGUAAGACUUUGAUAAUGAUACACUAAAAUUUGUCAAUUACGCCUUUAAUGCCCAAUGAUGCCCAAUGAUGAAGCUAAACUACUGGCUAAAAUUAUGUUUAAUAAAAUAGAUUAGUUUAUUGCGAAACAAAUAAUUAACUAACUCGUACUCCACUUACAUUUUCGUACAAUAGAAUGAAACCAAUUCAAACUGUACGAAUCCAAAAAUUAUUUUAGUUAUGCCUAUUUACGUGCAAUAUGCAUAACUCUUUCAUAAGUUAUGUAUGUACCUAGUAUAUGAAUACGAAAAAUUUGCGACAAAAGUCCUUACAUAUUUACCUAAACUAAAUAUGAUCAAGUUAAGUUAUAACAAUUCAUGGUUUAAUGAUACAUAUGUAUAUGUAAAUUCUAUUCU